AACGCACAUUGCGCCCCUUGGUAUUCCGAGGGGCAUGCCUGUUCGAGCGUCAUUAUAACCACUCAAGCCUGGCUUGGUAUUGGGGUCCGCGGUCUCGCGGCCCUUAAAAUCAGUGGCGGUGCCGUCUGGCUCUAAGCGUAGUAAUUUUUCUCGCUACAGGGUCUGGUGGUUGCUUGCCAUUAACCCCCCAUUUUCUCAGGUUGACCUCGGAUCAGGUAGGGAUACCCGCUGAACUUAA
rnacentral:misc_RNA from 1 species